AUUGAACGCUGGCGGAAUGCUUUACACAUGCAAGUCGAACGGCAGCACGGGGCAACCUGGUGGCGAGUGGCGAACGGGUGAGUAAUACAUCGGAACGUGCCCAGUCGUGGGGGAUAACGUAGCGAAAGUUACGCUAAUACCGCAUACGAUCUAAGGAUGAAAGCGGGGGAUCGCAAGACCUCGCGCGAUUGGAGCGGCCGAUGUCAGAUUAGGUAGUUGGUGGGGUAAGGCCCACCAAGCCGACGAUCUGUAGCUGGUCUGAGAGGACGACCAGCCACACUGGGACUGAGACACGGCCCAGACUCCUACGGGAGGCAGCAGUGGGGAAUUUUGGACAAUGGGCGCAAGCCUGAUCCAGCCAUUCCGCGUGCAGGAUGAAGGCCUUCGGGUUGUAAACUGCUUUUGUACGGAGCGAAAAGGCUCUCUCUAAUACAGGGGGCUUAUGACGGUACCGUAAGAAUAAGCACCGGCUAACUACGUGCCAGCAGCCGCGGUAA
rnacentral:rRNA from 1 species